rnacentral:lncRNA from 1 species
UGAAAAUGCAUGUAGCGAUGUGUUAUUUUAUAUAAUGCACAAUAUUUAAUUAAAAUUAAUUCACCUUAUUUUCUAUUGAUGGGAAAAUAAUUUAAGAAAGGGAAAUAAGGGUUCAUGCACCUUCCAUAAUGUUGAUGGCCCAUCUAUGGAAUGGAUGACUCAAAUCUCUCACUCCACAACUCACCCUUGAUCGACAAUCCAUGUUCAAUCUCACAAGAAGAGACAAGCCAAAGAAAUACCCUAAUCUUGUUCAAGCCUAUAAAAAAAUGAUCGUCUCUAUUCAAAACCUCCACACAACUUAUCUUUCCAUCUCUCUCUCUCAUGUCUGAUCUCUCUCCCACAUUGUGAAAAAAGGGCUAAGGGAUUAGGCUAUAGAGUUCUUCUCUCUCUUAUAUCUCAACUAUGGAUUUAUGGCUAAGGGCUUUGAAAGUCAACAAAAAGAGAAUCUCUCUCUCUCAAACUAGAUUGCUAAGGGAAUUCACUUAGGGUUUGAGUUUGUGAUCAAAUGGAUUCAUAUUCUAUUAGUGUGGUUUAGCCUAAACUUGCGGCUAAGGGAUUAGGCUAUGGAGUUCUUCUCUCUCUUAUCUCUCAACUAUGGAUUUAUGGCUAAGGGUUUUGUAAGUCAACAAAAAGAGAAUCUAUCUCUCUCAAACUAGAUUGCUAAGGGAAUUCACCUAGGGUUUGAGUUUGUGAUCAAAUGGAUUCAUGUUCUAUUAGUGUGGUUUAGCCUAAACUUGCUUUCCUGGAUUGAGAUUGAAGCAUAAUCAUCAAUCCCGCGCCAUCAGAUGGUGAUGACUUGAUGUGAGGUAAAAUAAGCCCGGUUGAGAUAAUCUCCGUCACUUUUCUCUUUUAUUUCUUGCAAUCUUAUUUUUUAUUCUCCUGCACAUUGUAUAAUUAUUUGAAUAGCAUCAAGUUUUAAAAUAUUGGUUUUAUUGUCAUAUUGAUUUUAUUUUGAAGUAUAUGUUGUUGUAAUAAGACCACAUGUAAGUGAUAUUUUGCCAAAAAAAAAGGGGUGAUAUAUAUAUAUAAUUCCCCUGUGAAAGAUCACUUAAGUCUUCUUUCACUGUUUAUGUUGUGGGACUAUCAUUAGAAAAAUUGGGCGACCUAACCGGUAUUUUAAAAAUAAAAAUUCAAAAACAAUGUAUAUAAAAAUCUUAAAAAUAAGAAAUUUGAUUUGUAAUAUAUUUUUUAAUAUUUUUAUAUUAUCGUAAAUAUUAAAAAUUGCUUUUGUCAUUAAUAUUCACUUUUAAAAUCCAUUUUUAUCAUUAAUUUUCAACUUCAUUUGAAUGCAUUUUAUUUUAUUAUUUAUAUGUUUUUCAUAUUUUAGUAGAUUUUUUUUGCAUGUUUUUUAUUUUUUCAACAAUUUUUUGGCCGCCCAGGACUUACCCAGUUAAAACGGUUGAAUUGAUUUACCGAUUAAACCGCUUCCAACCCCAUGUCUUAUUAACCGUUCCGCUUCAAACACUGUGUGGG